rnacentral:rRNA from 1 species
GGAAAGAUGAAAAGAACUUUGAAAAGAGAGUUAAACAGUACGUGAAAUUGUUGAAAGGGAAACGAUUGAAGUCAGUCGUGCUGGCGCGAAAUCAACCCUCUCGUCUCGAGAACACGUGGCGCGACGAGCCUCAAAACCGUCACCCGCGUGAUGUCUUGACGAUGGGGAGCACUUUCGUGUCCGCUGGUUAACAUCAUUUUCGAACGUCAUAAAAAGGCUGGAGGGAUGUGGCUCCUUCGGGAGUGUUAUAACCUUUGGCGGAAUGUGGCGAUCGGGAUUGAGGAUUGCAACGAAUACCCUCGGGGCUGUUCCACCUGGCCUCUCAUUGGUAUCCUGGUGACGACAGCUUGCUGACGUCGUCAGGAGGAUCCUUGACAGGCUAGAGUGUGAGCAAAUUCGUUAAGGAUGUUAACGUAAUGGCUUUAAACGACCCGUCUUGAAACACGGACCA